GACGAACGCUGGCGGCGUGCCUAAUACAUGCAAGUAGAACGCUGAAGCUUGGUGCUUGCACCGAGCGGAUGAGUUGCGAACGGGUGAGUAACGCGUAGGUAACCUGCCUGGUAGCGGGGGAUAACUAUUGGAAACGAUAGCUAAUACCGCAUAAGAGUAGAUGUUGCAUGACAUUUGCUUAAAAGGUGCAAUUGCAUCACUACCAGAUGGGCCUGCGUUGUAUUAGCUAGUUGGUGAGGUAACGGCUCACCAAGGCAACGAUACAUAGCCGACCUGAGAGGGUGAUCGGCCACACUGGGACUGAGACACGGCCCAGACUCCUACGGGAGGCAGCAGUAGGGAAUCUUCGGCAAUGGACGGAAGUCUGACCGAGCAACGCCGCGUGAGUGAAGAAGGUUUUCGGAUCGUAAAGCUCUGUUGUAAGAGAAGAACGAGUGUGAGAGUGGAAAGUUCACACUGUGACGGUAUCUUACCAGAAAGGGACGGCUAACUACGUG
rnacentral:rRNA from 1 species